ensembl:lncRNA
AAUUGUCCUGCGUUCUGAGUUCAGAUGGCAAAGCUUUGAGUGUCUGAGCGGAACCUUUUGACUGGUGGAUGCAAACACUUGCAGUGGAGAAUUUCUUUUACAAUUUAAAAAAGCAGCUUCAUCUGCUUUUGUCUGCCAGGGUUGCAUGGCUGAAACCUGGAAAAAUGGACUUGAGAUUACGACUGUGGUUGUGAAAACCCAUGGGGGAUAUGUUUCUGCUUUCCAUGUUUUUCUCAGAUUGAAUCAGUUCCCUCACUGAUAUCCUAGUUUCAGCCUUUUACACAAUUGGAGUGAGCAGAGUUAAGGCCUUCUGCACAAUAGAAGCUGCCAGUACUCUUGCCUGGAAAAUCCCAUGGAUGGAGGAGCCUGGUAGGCUGCAGUCCAUGGGGUCGCUGAGGGUCCGACACGACUGAGCGACUUCACUUUCACUUUUCACUUUCAAGCAUUGGAGGAGAAAAUGGCAACCCACUCCAGUGUUCUUGCCUGGAGAAUCCCAGGGACGGGAGAGCCUGGUGGGCUGCCGUCUAUGGGGUCGAACAGAGUCCGACACAACUGAAGUGACUCAGCAGCAGCAAAGUCAUUUGACUCCAGGAUGUGGAGUCUUGGCCUGCAGGGAUGAGGUGGUUUGAGGCCAGGGAUGGUGUGGGGGAAGAAGAAAAAGUGACAGAUGGCUGUGUUGUCAACUCAGUAAAAGGGAAGAAGAAGAAGGAAGCACAGGAGGCAGACCUGGACUUUCAAAGCAUCACCUGGGAACGUGAUCCAGUCUAGCAACUGGAAGAGCUAAUUCCUGGCUAAGGAUUCAGAUCACAAGGAGCCAAGAUUAACCCCAGGGAACCUAGUUGUGAAGAAAUCACUGACUCCAUGAAACACUACAAAAAUAACAAAACAUCUUGAGAAAUCCUGGGAAAACUGAAAGCUUCUUUAACUUAGCG